rnacentral:rRNA from 1 species
AUUGAACGCUAGCGGGAUGCUUUACACAUGCAAGUCGAACGAGUGGCGGACGGGUGAGUUAUAUAUCGGAACGUGCCCAGUAGCGGGGGAUAACUACGCGAAAGAGUGGCUUAUACCGCAUUCUAUGGGAGCGCCCGAUAUGGGAUUAGCUAGUGGGAGGGGUAAGGGCUCACCAAGGCCACGAUCCGUAGCUGGUCUGAGAGGACGACCAGCCACACUGGGACUGAGACACGGCCCAGACUCCUACGGGAGGCAGCAGUGGGGAAUUUUGGACAAUGGGGGAAACCCUGAUCCAGCCAUCCCGCGUGUAUGAGAAGGCCUUCGGGUUGUAAAGUACUUUUGGCAGAGAAGCGGUAUCUGCAGAAUAAGCACCGGCUAACUACGUGCCAGCAGCCGCGGUAAUUC